GAUGAACGCUGGCGGCGUGCCUAAUACAUGCAAGUCGAGCGAACGGACGAGAAGCUUGCUUCUCUGAUGUUAGCGGCGGACGGGUGAGUAACACGUGGAUAACCUACCUAUAAGACUGGGAUAACUUCGGGAAACCGGAGCUAAUACCGGAUAAUAUUUUGAACCGCAUGGUUCAAAAGUGAAAGACGGUCUUGCUGUCACUUAUAGAUGGAUCCGCGCUGCAUUAGCUAGUUGGUAAGGUAACGGCUUACCAAGGCAACGAUGCAUAGCCGACCUGAGAGGGUGAUCGGCCGCCCGGGAACGUGAACGCCGUCCAGACUCCUACGGGAGGCAGCAGUAGGGAAUCUUCCGCAAUGGGCGAAAGCCUGACGGAGCAACGCCGCGUGAGUGAUGAAGGUCUUCGGAUCGUAAAACUCUGUUAUUAGGGAAGAACAUAUGUGUAAGUAACUGUGCACAUCUUGACGGUACCUAAUCAGAAAGCCACGGCUAACUACGUG
rnacentral:rRNA from 1 species